GCCCGCAUGGCUCAGUGGUAGAGCGUAGCACUAGUAUGAAACCCCCGGCUUCAGCUAGGUCAAUGCUAAGGUCGUCAGUUCGAUUCUGGCUGUGGGCA